GGCAGCAUGACCCAGCUUGCUGGGUUGAUGGCGACCGGCGCACGGGUGAGUAACGCGUAUCCACCUGCCCUUUACUCCGGGAUAGUCUCCUGAAAGGGAGUUUAAUACCGGAUGUGUCCGCAUGGGAUAAAGAUUAGGUAAAGGAUGGGGAUGCGUCCCAUUAGCUUGUUGGCGGGGUAACGGCCCACCAAGGCGACGAUGGGUAGGGGUUCUGAGAGGAAGGUCCCCCACAUUGGAACUGAGACACGGUCCAAACUCCUACGGGAGGCAGCAGUGAGGAAUAUUGGUCAAUGGGCGGGAGCCUGAACCAGCCAAGUAGCGUGAAGGACGACGGCCUACGGGUUGUAAACUUCUUUUAUAAGGGAAUAAGUUCGCCACGUGUGGUGUUUUGUAUGUACCUUAUGAAUAAGCAUCGGCUAAUUCCGUGCCAGCAGCCGCGGUAAUACGGAAGAUGCGAGCGUUAUCCGGAUUUAUUGGGUUUAAAGGGAGCGUAGGCGGGCUUUUAAGUCAGCGGUCAAAUGUCGUGGCUCAACCAUGUCAAGCCGUUGAAACUGUAAGCCUUGAGUCUGCACAGGGCACAUGGAAUUCGUGGUGUAGCGGUGAAAUGCUUAGAUAUCACGAAGAACUCCGAUCGCGAAGGCAUUGUGCCGGGGCAUAACUGACGCUGAGGCUCGAAAGUGCGGGUAUCAAACAGGAUUAGAUACCCUGGUAGUCCGCACGGUAAACG
rnacentral:rRNA from 1 species